UAGCAUAUUCGUGGCUCGGACCUGGAGGUGAAUCCCGCCCCUCAUUCCUCUUCCUUCCGCCCUGCCUGUACGUGAGGAGCCAGCUCCUGGAAGCCCAGGGGCGGGAGGGAGUUGAGCCCAAAUAAGAUGGAGCUGUGCCUUCUAAGAUUUGUGUCCUUUGAACACAAGUGACUAUGGUCUCUGGAGACCUCCCUGCCAUGUUCCAGAUAAACAUUGCCUGACCAACUGAAUUCAGAAUAUUUCAUUUUGACUGUUGAUUGCCAUUGCCUUCCUGCAUGAUUCAUUCACCACCUAUUUUCUUCUCACCUGUGUACCCCAAAUGGAAGAGAAUAUCCUUGCCUUAUUGUUUGGGGCCAAUUUGUGAGAUGAACAAUUAUAUUCCAUUCUUAAACUAAUAUUUUGAUUCCUGUCAAACACAAUAAACAUUUUAUUACCCUAGCAUGUAUAUAAAAGGACAUUUAUAGUAACGUAGCUACUUACAGUAAAAAUGGUUGCUAACAUUCUCUACUGUUUUAAGAUUUAUAAGGAUUUACAUGGGUUAUCACAUUUGAUCCACCACCUUCAACUGUUUGGAGUAUAGAUAAACCCAGAAUAUAACUAAAAAUGUGUGUAUUUAUAAGCAUACCUAGAAAGAAUCCAAGGGGAACCUAACAGGCAAAGAUGAAAAUAAAACACACUAUAAUUUGAUUGAUCAGUCUGCAAACCAGAGGAAAAGAAAUUUUUGUUGGAUUUCUAUGUUUAUGAACUCAGCCCAGUGUCAAAGCUAUGGCAUGUUAGACAAGUAGGAGAAAAAGAAACAAGAAAGAAUGGCAGGAAGGGAAAGUAAUAAUGAUCAGCAAGAAAGCAGAGCCAAGGUUAGUGGAAAACAGAAAUGGUGAUGGUGUUAGUGAGAGAAAAAUAUAACUAGAACAACAUAGCAGUUUGGGGACAUUCAGCCUAGCCAGCUCUCUGUCAGGGGCCUGAUCUGUAAUACAUUUUACUCUGUCAAUAACUUUUAUAUCCACAGCAUAAUACAAUGACUAGAGUUUAUUUUAUAUAUCUUUGUGAAUUGUUUGCUGAAAAAAAGGGAAGUUAUUUUAGAAUGAUGACUAUGGAAAUGUCAUUGGAUUUCUGAUAGUUAAGUUGAUAAAGAAUAUGAACAAGUUUUCAAAAGAAGAAAUUCAAACUAUCAACAACUGUAUGAAAAAAAUGUUUCAGACCCCCAAUAAGAGACAAGAUUUAAGAUUUAGCACUCAAAAGGACCUUUGACACUGUCAAGUCCAACCACUUCAUUUUACACUUGAGGAUGUUGUGGCCUAGGGAAGGAAAGUCACUUGCCACAGUCACACAGGUAGUAUUAGAGAUAGGAUUUGAACACAGAUCAUCUAACUCCAGACUGAGCUCUCACCUUUCACCUCCCACUUGUUGAAUUGACAAAGAAGUUAAAAGGCAAUGAGAGUAUUUGAAAAGACAUAUAACAUUGGAACAGCUCUGAACUGGACCAACCAUUCUGGAAAAUUAUUCAUAAUCAUGCCAGAAAAAUGGCCCAGCUCUUCUUAUCCUUUGAUCCCAUUACUUGCUAUGUGUUCCCUGAGGAGGUCAGACAGAAAGAAGAGCCACAGAGACAGACAUAUUCAUAAACAACACUGGAGGAAUAGAAUGACCAUAUACUGGGAAAUGAUUAAACAAAUCAAGUACAAAAAUGCAAUGAAAUGCUGCCCCAAGGCAAGAUCAAUCUUUAUGAGAAAUCAAUUUACAUAGAAACAAGAAUUAUAGGAACUGAUGCAAAGCAAUGAGGGCCAAAUACUGUGUUAGAAACAAAAACUCAAAGAUGCCAGUCUAAGGUUGGCUGCAGGGAACGGGUGGUUGGGGGGAUGGAUGGCCAUCCGGUAGAGGCAGGAAAUAACAGGUUCAGCAGGCUGCAGCCACUGGUGGGCAUAGCUGCUUUGUCCUUUGGGUUUUCUGGGUUGCUUGUCUUUUGUUACAAGGGACAAUCGUGGGGGAGUAUAUUGAAAGAUGACUGACAAACCCAAGGUACACUCUGUAAUUGUAAAGCCUGAGCUUGACCAGAGGAGAACGAAGAAAAUAUACCUCCUUCCUUUCCUAUACUAUAGUGUUGGGGGAAUAUAGGUGUGAAGUAUCACAUAUACUAGUUGGUUUUGUCAAACUGCUUUUUAUCCUUUUGUUGCAAAUGAAUAUGUAUGUUGCAAAUAAAAAAUUGACUGGUCCCUAAAA